rnacentral:rRNA from 1 species
UACGAAGGGUGCAAGCGUUACUCGGAAUUACUGGGCGUAAAGCGUGCGUAGGCGGUUUGUUAAGUCUGUCGUGAAAGCCCCGGGCUCAACCCGGGAAGUGCACUCGAUACUGCCAAGCUUGAGUGUCGGAGAGGUUGGUGGAAUUCUCGGUGUAGAGGUGAAAUUCGUAGAUAUCGAGAGGAACACCGGCGGCGAAGGCGGCCAACUGGACGAACACUGACGC